AGCUUUGCGCAGUGGCAGUAUCGUAGCCAAUAAGGUUUAUCCGAGGCACGAUUAUUGCUAAUUGAAAACUUUUCCCAAUCCAUCACCGUGACGACUUGCAAUACAGUCAGCACUGGCAAUUUUUGACAUCUCUACUGAGA